rnacentral:rRNA from 1 species
UACGGAGGGGGCUAGCGUUGUUCGGAAUUACUGGGCGUAAAGGGCUCGUAGGUGGCCAACUAAGUCGGACGUGAAAUCCCUCAGCUUAACUGGGGAACUGCGUCCGAUACUGGAUGGCUCGAGUUUGGGAGAGGGAUGCGGAAUUCCAGGUGUAGCGGUGAAAUGCGUAGAUAUCUGGAGGAACACCGGUGGCGAAGGCGGCAUCCUGGACCAACACUGACACUGAGGAGCGAAAGCCAGGGGAGCAAACGGG